AAAUACAUAAAUUUAUCCAACACGUCUUCGGAUCCCGGACGCUGCGGUUUCAUAUUUCAUCCACGGAUAGUCCCCCAAACACUCAAUUUGUCAAAUCCCCUUCACUUCUUUUGAACAUUCACUUUCCAAAGCAAUUCAAAUCUCAGAACAAGAAUCCAAUUCUCCCAAUGCAAUUUCUCCACCCAUAGUUUUCCCAUUCAGGAAUAAUCAAAUCCAACGCAACCCCCAUUUCAGGAAUAAUCGAAUCCAACGAAAUCCAAUUCCAUUUUGUCCCUUUUGCAGUUACUUCUCAUGACGCCCGCGGAGGCUAAACCAAGGAGGGUGGAUAUAUUUUUCGGUCAGCACGAGGGAUCACAAUUCACAGGUGGGAAAAUGAUGGACGUCUUCUUCCUCAAAAAACAAUAUAUAUUACUCAUAGUAAAGAUAUGUGACCAAAUACGUUUGAUGAUACUGUCAUUCGUCGGUUACCAAGAAGGGGUUCUUGAUUUACAAGAACAAGGUGUGGUUUAUUUAUGAAGAACUUGAUUUACAAGAACAAGGUGUGGUUUAUUUAUGAAGAAUAUUUUCCUGAUUGGUUACGAUGGUUUUGUAACUGUUUGUCUAUGUCUUUCUAGAAUGGUUGUAGUGGAUAUGUCAAUUGUUUUAUUCUUUGAUAGUAUAUGUCUCAAUAAAUGUUUGCUACUAUUUUCUCAA